GACGAACGCUGGCGGCGUGCUUAACACAUGCAAGUCGAACGGAAAGGCCCUGCUUGCCGGGUACUCGAGUGGCGAACGGGUGAGUAACACGUGGGUGAUCUGCCCUGCACUUCGGGAUAAGCCUGGGAAACUGGGUCUAAUACCGGAUAGGAGCCAUUUUUAGUGUGAUGGUUGGAAAGUUUUUUCGGUGUAGGAUGAGCUCGCGGCCUAUCAGCUUGUUGGUGGGGUAAUGGCCUACCAAGGCGGCGACGGGUAGCCGGCCUGAGAGGGUGGACGGCCACAUUGGGACUGAGAUACGGCCCAGACGCCUACGGGAGGCAGCAGUGGGGAAUAUUGCACAAUGGGCGCAAGCCUGAUGCAGCGACGCCGCGUGGGGGAGGACGGCCUUCGGGUUGUAAACUCCUUUCGCUAGGGACGAAGCUUUUUGUGACGGUACCUAGAUAAGAAGCACCGGCUAACUACGUG
rnacentral:rRNA from 1 species